ACAGAGAAUUGCGACUAGAAAUUCGAUCGAUUGGUACGAGGGACCACGUGGCCAGGGGCUGGCCAAUGACCAGGCCGCCCGGGAUGAGCUAAUAAUGGAAGCAAUUUGUAACUUUCAGUAGCUCUCUAGGCCUGGGUACCGGAGGGAGGGAGGCGGGCAGAGGAGGGGAGAUGGGCACCCCCAGUCUUUCCAUCCUCCUCAUUCGUCUAGGGGCACCCGAAUCCCCUAUUCCUUAUUUCCCCUAUCACUCAGGCACUGGCAGGGUCCUUUGCCCACUCCUGUUGGCCGCUGCGGCUCCAAAGCGAGCUGGGCAGAUGUGCCUGAGACAGGUUUGACCAGGCAACUGAAAAGACAUCCCUAAGAGAAGACAAAGCAAAGGUAUGAAAGGAACACACGUCCCUGACUGACUAGGAGGAACAGAGCUGCCUGCUAUCUGGAACAACUUCCUCCCAGACUAAGUGAGAAAUAAACUUCUGUUUUCUAUAUG
rnacentral:lncRNA from 1 species